UUAGGCUGGGUUUAUGUACAGCACUUUGAUAUAUCAGCUGAUGGAAGAAGGGCUAUAUAAAUCAAUUUGAUCCAACAUUCGCUAUUUGAUGCGAACCAGUCUUGCUAGCUAUCUAGGUUAGCAAACCAGCCUGUGUUAUUGGAUUAAUACGUAUAGCCAUAUUCCUCCAGUCAAGAGGCUAAUUAGGUAGGACAACAUACCUUAAAUUACCCAUCAUAUGAAUCUACUGAUGGAGGGACAAUAGGCCUAAUAUAUGACCUAAACACUCAUCAUAGUGUGAAAAGGAAGCUAGCUAACAUUACUGUAGACUUUCUGAUAUGUUAUGGUGUUUGAUACAGUUGAAUCCCUCAUGAAAAAGUACUAUGGAAUUACUAUUUAAAAAACUAUGCUUGUUGUAGAAGUGACUAUGUAGGGAUUGGGUAGUGAAUGUGUAGUUCAUGCACUGCUCCAGAUACACAAGUAGAGUUCAGUAGGAAAGCCAGUGUUUCAAGUAGUAAUCAUGUAGAGUUUUACUACUUGAUGUUGUUAGUAAAUAAGUAGUGAAAACACUACAGAUUUACUACACAGCUUUUCAUUAGUAAUCAGGUAGAGCGUUUACAACUUGAUGUUGGUAUUAAAUAAGUGUCACAACAGUACAGCCAGAUUACACUGGCUUUUCGCGAUCGCAGAAAAAUACCUAACAGGAAGUAUUUGGUUGUUGUUGUUCGAUAGCUAACGUUACUGUUUUUGACAAUCCCGAAUGUAAUCAUCUUCCAUCCUUCCUCAUCCUGGCUUUUAUAACCCUUAUGCUGGUACCAUCUGUAAAUUAUCUUUCCAUCGUGAUUUAUGAAUACUUUCACGUCGUUGAUUUAACUUUUCACCACAUCAAAAAGAUUGCUAGCCAAAACGGUUUUAGGCGUUCGCCGUUGUCAUAGAGAUGUAAUUGAGUUUAUCCUAGCUCUUUGCUAGCACCAUUGAAAUGUAGCCACAGUAUGCAGCGUCAUGAUACCUAAUAAGUGUGUUUGUAUGCAAAUGUACAGUAUUUUCAUAUUGGUGUACUUAUCCAUUCUUCUUACCUCUUUUGGCAUGUUCCCAAGGAGGCCCUCGACAUAGAAAUACUGGAGGCCAUUGUUGGGAAAAUGGCAAGCGGUAUCUUCAAGCUGUUGUCCUCUCGGAAGUGCAACAUAGGAGUCCUGUCUCUUAGUGGAGUAUGGGCAUUUGCUACAGCAGGAUUUUUUUCUGAACAGAGAGCAUGUCACCGCAGGAGCUCAAAUCAGGAGGCUGUACCAUGCUGGGUUAUCCCAGACAGACAGGGACAGAUCCCAGUGUCCACAGCCUCCAUCACCUAUUCAUUCAUUAGGGGUGUGAUAUCACUGUACCCCCUUUUUGUCUGUACUUAUUUCAAUAGUGUGACCAACCUUCAAUUUCUCUCACAGUUCAGAGUUCCCUGAUUUACUCAAACACAACAACUGCAAGGCCAGUCACAUCAUACCUUCCCUUGCCUAUGGACAAUGUUAUCCAGACAGGAUUGGACAACCCUGGGCACCCCUUCAUAAAGACUGUUGGCAUGGUAGCCGGAGGCGAGGAGUCCUAUCGGGAUGGAUCACAACGGCCUGUGUGGUCCGUGUCUUUUCACAGUGAAUUGUUAUGCCUACUACCUAUCUUGCUGGAACUUCAGUGCAUUUAAAAAAAAAUCUAAAACCGGUCACUGUGAAAAAUAUAUUCUAAAGCUACUACACAUAUUGGAGCAUCACCCAUUCCUUAUAAAUGUGUUAUACAGAUAAAACCUAGAUGAGGGGAUCAACUGCAGUUUUUAAUUCUGCCUUGAAGUGAAGGCAAGUGCUCUGCAGACUCUUAAUAGCAGAGUCUCCCAAUAUUCUACCUUUUUGUGUGUAGAGAGAAGUAUUGAAAGGAAAGAAUAACACAGAAGCCCUUGCUUUGUGAUCGCUGUUGGUUACGAAAGUUUCAUUUAUUUAAGGCCAUACAUUUAUACACAAUCUCUCCCCACAGACCUGGAUGCCAGCAAGGUACAGAAUGAUCGGAAUGUCCAUGGAUAUAAGUAUAGAAAUGUCAUUGCAUCAACCACCCAGUUGACUAGAACCGGGCAGGUCAGUUUGAUGAGUGCUACGUGUCGUCAUCGCGUGGAAGGACCUGAGCAUCUGAGCCUGCCCUCUGCCUGUUUCUGGGCGGCGUGCCGGGAGGUGGACACCCUCAACAGCCUGCAGGGGGAACUCAAGGAACAGUACAGAUGACUGACUAGGAGCAGCAGCUGCUCAUUGAUGUGAGGAAAAUACACUCUGCACCACACAUUGCGUUGGAAAAUUGUUUUUAUUUGUUUCAUUUCCUUAUUCUAUCACUGAGAUGCCUAGCACUUGUUUUUGGAGUUCACGGGAUCACUUCCUGUUUGAUAUACCAGUGUCCCCGAUCUUGACCUGUGCAGGAAUGGCCAGAGAUUGGCCAGAUGCACAGGGCAUUUGUUAAGUAUAAUGGUUUGAUAAAAGCAGAACUCUAAAACCAAACAAUAGAAAGCAUUUUAUAAGCGCUGAAACAUAUGGAGAUAACCCGUUGGUGUGGAAAGGCACAACAACCAGGAGAACUUCCUGUUGUGGAUCAAUGAGGAGGACCACACCCGGGUCAUCUAGAUGGAGAAGGCCAGCGACAUGAAGAGGGUGUUUGAGAGGUUCUACAGGGGACUCAAGGAGGUGGAGAGGUUGAUCAUGGAGAAGGGCUGGGAGUUCAUGUGGAGCAAGAGGCUGGGUUACAUCCUCACCUGCCCCUCCAACCUGGGCACUGGACUCAGGUCAACCUGCCUCGUCUCAGCAAGAAGAUACUGGACAACCUGCUUCUGCAGAAGCGAGGUAUGGGUGGCGUGGACGCCGCAGCUGUGGGCACAACCUUUGACAUCUCUAAUCUGACCAGACUGGGUGAGUCAGAGGUCCAGCUGGUUCAGAAUGUGAUUGAUGGGGUUAAAUACCUGAUUGUGUGUGAGAAGAGACUGGAGCGAGAUCAGGAUAUCCAAAUCCCUGCACCCAUCUCAGUUCAGGUUGAGAGAGACUGGCCUUGCAGAUGCCCCGCCCCGACUUGCGAUUUUACAUUCACAAACAAUAUACUUCAAUAAAGCUAUAU